GGCUCAGAGCGAACGCUGGCGGCAGGCCUAACACAUGCAAGUCGAACGGAUCCUUCGGGAUUAGUGGCGGACGGGUGAGUAACACGUGGGAACGUGCCCUUUGGUUCGGAACAACUCAGGGAAACUUGAGCUAAUACCGGAUGUGCCCUUCGGGGGAAAGAUUUAUCGCCAUUGGAGCGGCCCGCGUCUGAUUAGCUAGUUGGUGAGGUAAAGGCUCACCAAGGCGACGAUCAGUAGCUGGUCUGAGAGGAUGAUCAGCCACAUUGGGACUGAGACACGGCCCAAACUCCUACGGGAGGCAGCAGUGGGGAAUCUUGCGCAAUGGGCGAAAGCCUGACGCAGCCAUGCCGCGUGAAUGAUGAAGGUCUUAGGAUUGUAAAAUUCUUUCACCGGGGACGAUAAUGACGGUACCCGGAGAAGAAGCCCCGGCUAACUUCGUGCCAGCAGCCGCGGUAAUACGAAGGGGGCUAGCGUUGCUCGGAAUUACUGGGCGUAAAGGGAGCGUAGGCGGACUGUUAAGUUAGAGGUGAAAGCCCAGGGCUCAACCUUGGAAUUGCCUUUGAUACUGGCAGUCUUGAGUACGGAAGAGGUAUGUGGAACUCCGAGUGUAGAGGUGAAAUUCGUAGAUAUUCGGAAGAACACCAGUGGCGAAGGCGACAUACUGGUCCGUUACUGACGCUGAGGCUCGAAAGCGUGGGGAGCAAACAGGAUUAGAUACCCUGGUAGUCCACGCCGUAAACGAUGAGUGCUAGUUGUCGGCAUGCAUGCAUGUCGGUGACGCAGCUAACGCAUUAAGCACUCCGCCUGGGGAGUACGGUCGCAAGAUUAAACUCAAAG
rnacentral:rRNA from 1 species